GCAGUCGUGGCCGAGUGGUUAAAGCGAUGGACUAAAAUCCAUUAGAGUCUCCCCGCACAUGUUUGAUUCCUGUCGACUGCA
rnacentral:tRNA from 1 species